rnacentral:rRNA from 1 species
CGGGGACGGGCGGGCGGCCUACACAUGCAGUCGAGCGGUAGAGAGAAGCUUGCUUCUCUUGAGAGCGGCGGACGGGUGAGUAAUGCCUAGGAAUCUGCCUGGUAGUGGGGGAUAACGUUCGGAAACGGACGCUAAUACCGCAUACGUCCUACGGGAGAAAGCAGGGGACCUUCGGGCCUUGCGCUAUCAGAUGAGCCUAGGUCGGAUUAGCUAGUUGGUGGGGUAAUGGCUCACCAAGGCGACGAUCCGUAACUGGUCUGAGAGGAUGAUCAGUCACACUGGAACUGAGACACGGUCCAGACUCCUACGGGAGGCAGCAGUGGGGAAUAUUGGACAAUGGGCGAAAGCCUGAUCCAGCCAUGCCGCGUGUGUGAAGAAGGUCUUCGGAUUGUAAAGCACUUUAAGUUGGGAGGAAGGGUUGUAGAUUAAUACUCUGCAAUUUUGACGUUACCGACAGAAUAAGCACCGGCUAACUCUGUGCCAGCAGCCGCGGUAAUACAGAGGGUGCAAGCGUUAAUCGGAAUUACUGGGCGUAAAGCGCGCGUAGGUGGUUAGUUAAGUUGGAUGUGAAAUCCCCGGGCUCAACCUGGGAACUGCAUUCAAAACUGACUGACUAGAGUAUGGUAGAGGGUGGUGGAAUUUCCUGUGUAGCGGUGAAAUGCGUAGAUAUAGGAAGGAACACCAGUGGCGAAGGCGACCACCUGGACUGAUACUGACACUGAGGUGCGAAAGCGUGGGGAGCAAACAGGAUUAGAUACCCUGGUAGUCCACGCCGUAAACGAUGUCAACUAGCCGUUGGGAGCCUUGAGCUCUUAGUGGCGCAGCUAACGCAUUAAGUUGACCGCCUGGGGAGUACGGCCGCCAGGGUAAAACUCAAAUGAAUUGACGGGGGCCGCCCAAGCGGUGGAGAUGUGGUUAAUUCGAAGCAAGCGAAGAACCUUACAGGCCUGGCUUCCAUGAACUUCUAAAAUAAAUUGGUGCCUUCGGAACAUUGAAAAGGGGGUGCAGGGCUUCUCCCCUUCUGUCGGGAAUUGUGGGUUAGUCCCGUACCAGCGCAACCUUGGCCUUAUUUCCACCAUAAUGGGGGCACUCUUAAGAAACUGCGGGGAAAAACCGGAGGAAGGGGGGAUAACUUCAGUCUUCGGGCCCUUACGGCUGGGCUCCCCCCGUGCUACAAGGGGGGGGAAGAGGGGUUGCCAACCCCCGGGGGGGGAAAUUAAUUCCCCCAAAACACAAAAAAAAACCCGGAAACCCCAACCCGGCCCCCCCCCCCCCGGGGGGGGAAAAGGGGGAAAAACACCCCAAAAAAAAAUCCCACACAAAAAAA